GCACAAGCGGUGGAGCAUGUGGUUUAAUUCGACGCAACGCGAAGAACCUUACCUGGUCUUGACAUCCCAGAGAUCCCUUGGAAACUUGGGAGUGCUUCCAUUAGGAAGAAUCUGGAGACAGGUGCUGCAUGGCUGUCGUCAGCUCGUGUCGUGAGAUGUUGGGUUAAGUCCCGCAACGAGCGCAACCCUUGCCUUUAGUUGCCAGCAGUUCGGCUGGGUACUCUAAAGGGACUGCCGGUGUUAAACCGGAGGAAGGUGGGGAUGACGUCAAGUCCUCAUGGCCUUUAUGACCAGGGCUACACACGUACUACAAUGGCCGAUACAAAGGGCAGCGACAUUGCGAAAUGGAGCCAAUCCCAUAAAUUCGGUCUCAGUCCGGAUUGGAGUCUGCAACUCGACUCCAUGAAGUUGGAAUCGCUAGUAAUCGUGGAUCAGCAUGCCACGGUGAAUACGUUCCCGGGCCUU
rnacentral:rRNA from 1 species